ensembl:lincRNA
CUACUUCUAAAACUAGCAACAUAACAUUUCCUUUAAAAUGUCAACAAACUUUCAAGAAAUGCUGCGGUCCUGGCCUGUCUGAUCUACAGUAAGCUCCAAAGUGAGUUGAGAAGACAUACACCAAAGUUAUCUACCUAUUGGCUUGCAAGGACUUACUGGCCAAAGCAAAAUUACAGAGAUGCCAUCCCUGCAGAAGUUUUGUGUAGAGAAACAUUUCUUCAUGGACUUUGUGGAAGAGACCCUGAUUCAAGGAUUUAAAUGCAGCCUAUUGUGACAUGUGAGGUUGCUUGUGAGGUGCCUGCAGCACUCACAGAAGAGAGACAGAGAUUCGGGCAGAAGAGAGACAGGGACAGCCUCUGUAUGGGAGGAACACAGAAGCAGAGCAGCAGACGGAGGUCAGAGGGACAGAAUCUGCUGGUUUCCCAGAAUCUAUCCAGCUUAAUUGGAAAGCAAAGCCUACCCAGGAAUGAACGGAGGUGGCUGGAAAAUGUUCUCUCUGUUCUGAUUACAAGGGCUGGAAAGGCAUUGGUGAAUUGGGCUGACUGCAAAGAGAGUGUAUAUGUCGAUAGCUUCUGGGUAAGCAAUUUGAUCACAUGUAUUUAGAACUUUGAUAAUGUUUAUACCCUCUGCCCAGGAAUUACUCUCUUAGGAAUUUAUUCUAAUACACAUUUAUUGAAAUACAUUUAACUUGGGAAAAUUAUACACAGUUCAAUAAGGAAAAAUCUUCCAAGUUUCCAAAUGAGGAGGUGCUUUGCAGCUUAAAGAUUAUUUUGCUUUGAAAUAAUAAUUACAAACCUGGUAAAGAGUUAGACAGAUACAUAUUCCCAUUUGUCCAUCAGAAUCCUGGUCUGUACCUGUGACCUGGGAGAAUUACUAUGGGGAUGCCUUUCACUGUCACUCCACUGUAGUGUAGCAACUGCACAGAGAUGGCCAUGAAACUUUACGUGCUUUUUUAACUGGGACUCUCUGGGAUACUGGCUCUGAUUAUAUAUAGCAUCUGCCAAUUUCUGUGGUGUAAAUACUUCCACUGUGGCCUAUAUCAAGCUACAACAGGAGGUCCUUAAAGAUGGGUUUGGGCUGGGAUGAGCACAGUCACUCUCCUGAGCCAUCCCAGAAACUCAGCCCACUUCUGGGGAAAAGUGACACUAUGUGGUGAGGACUCCACAAGGCUUGUCUUUGUGUUUGGAGGUAGCUUUUUGCUCUUAGUUUUGCAGGGGCGAGUGGGGAGUGUGACAUCUGUCUUUGUGUUUGGAGGUAGCUUUUUGCUCUUCUCAGUUUUGCAGGGGGGAGGAGGGAGUGUGACAUCCACUAGGCACCAUCCCUAGAGAGGGCAACCCCUGUAUUUGAGGCCAUCAGGGGUUGAAGGUUCCUGCUGCUCUUUGGGGAGGGGGUGCCUCUGUGCUCGAUUUCCUUGUUGGUCCAGGAUGUGCUCCCUGCCUCAUACUUCCCACCUCACCAUAUGCCCCACCUCACGGCAACAGGGCCAGCUCUGAUCACUGGCCUUGCUCCUAUCCUCCCAGUCUUCCAAAGAUAGCAGGGACAGACUGACUCCUUGAGGGACAUUUAACAGUAUACAGAACAGGAAACAGGUCUUAAUGGAGAAGAAGGACAAGGAAUCACCGAGCAGGGGGAAGCUGCAGGAAGCACUGGGUGUUCUUGUGCCAUCCUGUUGGAUAGAAGUGGGAUGUAGAUGGCCAGGCCCAGGAAUCUAAGUUACUGACAAACUUCACCAUCCUGUGUUUUCAAGGGAUGCAGCCACACCAUGAAUAUGAACUAAGUGGAAACCAGAGUGACCACGUCCUUGUCUGUCCUUGUCUGUCAUCUUGUCUGUCAUCCCCACUGGCUUCUGCUUCUGAGCUGCAGUCACAAAGUCCAUCACGGCCUGAGCCAUGAGCAGAGCACACCUGGAUGGGGAUCCUUCUUGGUGCGGCCAAAGUGUCUGAAGAUAUUUCCAAACUCAGAUUAUAUUUUCAUACUGCUAUGAUCUGAAUUUUAUCUCUCCUUAAAGUUCAUAUGCUAAAUCCAAAUGCUCAAGGAUGAUAGCAUUAGGAGGUGGGAUAUUUGGGAGGUGAUUAAACUAUAAGGAUGGAGCCUUCAGGGAUGGGAUUGGAUUUUUAUAAAAGAGGCUCCAGAGAGAUGUCUCAGCCCCUCCAUGUGAGGACACAGCAAGAAAGUGUAGAUUAUGAACCAGGAUGCAGGCUCUCAGCAGACCGAGAUCCCACCCACACCUUAAUCUUGGACUCCCAGCCUCCAGAACCAUGAGAAAUAAACUUUGUUGUUUAUAAGUCAUCUACUCUGUGGCAUUUUGUUAUAAAGCCCAAAGGGAUUAAGACACAGACAUUCAU